UACGUAGGGGGCUAGCGUUGUCCGGAAUCAUUGGGCGUAAAGAGCGUGUAGGCGGCCCGGUAAGUCCGCUGUAAAAGUCAAAGGCUCAACCUUUGAAUGUCAGUGGAUACUGCCGGGCUAGAGUCCGGAAGAGGCGAGUGGAACUCCUGGUGUAGCGGUGGAAUGCGCAGAUAUCAGGAAGAACACCAACGGCGAAGGCGGCUCUCUGGGACGGUACUGACGCUGAGACGCGAAAGCGUGGGGAGCGAACAGG
rnacentral:rRNA from 1 species